rnacentral:lncRNA from 1 species
CCCGCCUGAAAUCCUUGUUCUGAUCUGCCUGACUUCAGAGUGUAAACUCUUAAAUACAGUCUGCUGCCUCUCCAGAUCAAGGUAACAAAC